rnacentral:rRNA from 1 species
UCCUGGCUCAGGAUGAACGCUGGCGGCGUGCUUAACACAUGCAAGUCGAACGAUCCUUCGGGAUAGUGGCGGACGGGUGAGUAACGCGUGGGAAUCUGCCCUCAGGAGGGGGAUAACGGCUGGAAACGGCCGCUAAUACCCCAUAUGCCGAGAGGUGAAAUGAAUUUCGCCUGAGGAUGAGCCCGCGUCUGAUUAGCUAGUUGGUGGGGUAAUGGCCUACCAAGGCAACGAUCAGUAGCUGGUCUGAGAGGAUGAUCAGCCACACUGGGACUGAGACACGGCCCAGACUCCUACGGGAGGCAGCAGUGGGGAAUUUUCCGCAAUGGGCGAAAGCCUGACGGAGCAACGCCGCGUGAGGGAUGAAGGCCUCUGGGCUGUAAACCUCUUUUCUCAAGGAAGAAGACCUGACGGUACUUGAGGAAUAAGCCACGGCUAAUUCCGUGCCAGCAGCCGCGGUAAUACGGGAGUGGCAAGCGUUAUCCGGAAUUAUUGGGCGUAAAGCGUCCGCAGGCGGCCUUGUAAGUCUGUUGUUAAAGCGUGGAGCUCAACUCCAUUUAAGCAAUGGAAACUACAAGGCUGGAGUGUGGUAGGGGCAGAGGGAAUUCCCGGUGUAGCGGUGAAAUGCGUAGAUAUCGGGAAGAACACCAGUGGCGAAGGCGCUCUGCUGGGCCAUAACUGACGCUCAUGGACGAAAGCCAGGGGAGCGUAAGGGAUUAGAUACCCCUGUAGACCUGGCCGUAAACGAUGAACACUAGGUGUCGGGGGAAUCGACCCCCUCGGUGUCGUAGCCAACGCGUUAAGUGUUCCGCCUGGGGAGUACGCACGCAAGUGUGAAACUCAAAGGAAUUGACGGGGGCCCGCACAAGCGGUGGAGUAUGUGGUUUAAUUCGAUGCAACGCGAAGAACCUUACCAGGGUUUGACAUCCUGCGAACCCCUGAGAAAUCGGGGGGUGCCUUCGGGAGCGCAGAGACAGGUGGUGCAUGGCUGUCGUCAGCUCGUGUCGUGAGAUGUUGGGUUAAGUCCCGCAACGAGCGCAACCCACGUCUUUAGUUGCCAGCAUUCAGUUGGGCACUCUAGAGAGACCGCCGGUGAUAAACCGGAGGAAGGUGUGGAUGACGUCAAGUCAUCAUGCCCCUUACAUCCUGGGCUACACACGUACUACAAUGCUACGGACAAAGGGCAGCAAGCCCGCGAGAGUUAGCAAAUCCCAUAAACCGUGGCUCAGUUCAGAUCGUAGGCUGCAACUCGCCUACGUGAAGGAGGAAUCGCUAGUAAUCGCAGGUCAGCAUACUGCGGUGAAUACGUUCCCGGGCCUUGU